UGAGGAACAUGACCUUCGGCGGGGGAUAGCCGGCCCAACGGCCGGGUAAUACCGCGUACGACCACAUGGGGACAUCCCUGAGUGGUGAAAGCAGCAAUGCGCCGAUGGAGUGCCUCGCGGCCUAUCAGCUAGUUGGUGAGGUAACGGCUCACCAAGGCGACGACGGGUAGCUGGUUUGAGAGGAUGGCCAGCCACAUUGGGACUGAGACACGGCCCAGACUCCGUAGGGACGG
rnacentral:rRNA from 1 species